rnacentral:rRNA from 1 species
UACGGAGGGGGCAAGCGUUGUUCGGAAUUACUGGGCGUAAAGGGCGCGCAGGCGGCUGCUCAAGUCAGGCGUGAAAGGCCUGGGCUCAACCCGGGAAUUGCGCUUGAGACUGGGCUGGCUUGAGUGCGGGAGAGGAUGGUGGAAUUCCCAGCGUAGAGGUGAAAUUCGUAGAUAUUCGCAAGAACACCAGUGGCGAAGGCGGCUCACUGGCCCGGUACUGACGCUGAGGUGCGAAAGCGUGGGGAGCAAACAGG